rnacentral:rRNA from 1 species
AUUGAACGUUGGCGGCAGGCCUAAUACAUGCAAGUCGAACGGCAGCACAGAGAGCUUGCUCUUGGGUGGCGAGUGGCGGACGGGUGAGUAAUACUUAGGAAUCUACCUAGUAGUGGGGGAUAGCACGGGGAAACUCGUAUUAAUACCGCAUACGACCUACGGGAGAAAGGGGGCAACUUGUUGCUCUCGCUAUUAGAUGAGCCUAAGUCGGAUUAGCUAGAUGGUGGGGUAAAGGCCUACCAUGGCUACGAUCUGUAGCUGGUCUGAGAGGAUGAUCAGCCACACCGGAACUGAGACACGGUCCGGACUCCUACGGGAGGCAGCAGUGGGGAAUAUUGGACAAUGGGGGAAACCCUGAUCCAGCCAUGCCGCGUGUGUGAAGAAGGCCUUUUGGUUGUAAAGCACUUUAAGCAGUGAAGAAGACUCCGUGGUUAAUACCCAUGGGCGAUGACAUUAGCUGCAGAAUAAGCACCGGCUAACUC